UACAGAGGGGGCAAGCGUUGUUCGGAAUUACUGGGCGUAAAGGGCGCGUAGGCGGCCGCCUAAGUCAGACGUGAAAUCCCUCGGCUCAACCGGGGAACUGCGUCUGAUACUGGGUGGCUUGAAUCCGGGAGAGGGAUGCGGAAUUCCAGGUGUAGCGGUGAAAUGCGUAGAUAUCUGGAGGAACACCGGUGGCGAAGGCGGCAUCCUGGACCGGCAUUGACGCUGAGGCGCGAAAGCCAGGGGAGCAAGCGGG
rnacentral:rRNA from 1 species